rnacentral:rRNA from 1 species
GAUGAACGCUGGCGGCGUGCCUAAUACAUGCAAGUCGAGCGAACGGACGAGAAGCUUGCUUCUCUGAUGUUAGCGGCGGACGGGUGAGUAACACGUGGAUAACCUACCUAUAAGACUGGGAUAACUUCGGGAAACCGGAGCUAAUACCGGAUAAUAUUUUGAACCGCAUGGUUCAAAAGUGAAAGACGGUCUUGCUGUCACUUAUAGAUGGAUCCGCGCUGCAUUAGCUAGUUGGUAAGGUAACGGCUUACCAAGGCAACGAUGCAUAGCCGACCUGAGAGGGAGAUCGGCCACACUGGAACUGAGACACGUUCCAGACUCCUACGGGAGGCAGCAGUAGGGAAUCUUCCGCAAUGGGCGAAAGCCUGACGGAGCAACGCCGCGUGAGUGAUGAAGGUCUUCGGAUCGUAAAACUCUGUUAUUAGGGAAGAACAUAUGUGUAAGUAACUGUGCACAUCUUGACGGUACCUAAUCAGAAAGCCACGGCUAACUACGUG